GUACAAAGUGUAGCAUUCUAAAGGGAUUCAGGGGACAGUGCCUGCGAGGACAGCGUGUUGGCUGGUCCUUGUGAAGUCAUGUGGGCACCACUAGUGAAUAAAAAGAACUGAAAACCAUCAAGAAUGAAAACUUGGUGUGAGAGCCAGAGACCUUCUGGAAGCUUCCAGAGAGACCCCAUCUCCUGUAGUGGGGGGAUGCAGCAGCUAGGAGCAGACAGGAUUUGAGAGCAGGAACCACAGAGCUUGGGAGAGGCUGGAUCAGGCAGGCUUAUAGCACCAAGGUAAGGGCCCUGCUCAGACGACCUGGGACCCUGGACUCUGGUGAAGGUGAAUGAACAGAGCCCUGGGGAUAUGUCUAUCCCUCAGAGCAGGAAGAGGUGGCCUACCCUUCACUGGUGGGAACUGCUGCCAACCCAGGCUGGAGGACACUGCAAGGUCUCUGCCCUGCAAGGGCCUCCUGGAGCUACCAUCUUGUGCCCGGCUGGAUUCUGGGCAGAGUAAAGGGCCCAAGCAAAGGAGCUCAGAACCAAACCUCACUGACCUAGGGUCAGAGUCACCGAGGAGCUGCCGAAACAAGUUCUAGGCCCAGGCCCAGGGAGCUGCCUUGAGUCUCGCUCAGUUCCUGAGGCUGGAUUUGAACCUGUGAUUUUCCUGCCUCAGCCCUUCGAGUCACUGGGAUUACAGGCGUGCGCCACCAGGCCUGGCCCACCGGUUCAUUUGUUUACCCUCUUCCCCAAUUUGAGGGGGAAAACAUUAAGAAGAGAACCGGGGACAGACUUGGGACUGGGUCUGUCUUGGGGGACAAAAGCUGGAUAAGGUCUGGUUGGGACUGGGGUGGGCAUGGGGCUGGGUGUGGUGGUGUGGAGCUGUGUGUAUGGUGUCUCAUGCGCCCCUCACUGCAGCCCGGGAAGAGGAGUCUCGUCUUUAUACCACAUGCCAAGAGGAGUUUCCUCUUUAUACCACAAAUCACCAAGCUCAUCAGAGGUCCACGCAGUGAUUGAACGUGGGCCUCUAUGGCCCCCAGAUUGGCCCACCUCCCUGUGUCUCUGUGUUAGGACUCUGCUUUGAGAUUCCCCAACACUAUUUCUGACAGGAUGGUGUAUGUUUAACACAUUUAGUAAUUUACAAGUCAAUGGAAAACUGUGAACCAUGGUGGUAUUUUGUUUUAAAAAUGAUAUUUGAUAUGGAUUAUUAGAAAUUCUAGCUCAAAUCUUUAUUGAAAGUUUCUGAGGGAGGAAGGGAAAAAGGGAGGGCAAAUCAGUUAAUAAAAUAGUAUGUGAAUGAACAAAGGAACAUGCUUGUUUCAAGAAAAUUCCAUGAGGGCUUAAGUUCUGUUAUGGUCUGAAUUGUCCAUAAAAUUAUUGUGUUGAAAUCCUAA